UAUGUAUGUAUGUAUGUAUGUAUGUAUGUAUGUAUGUAUGUAUGAAUAUAUGCACACACACAUACAUACAUAUACAUACGUACGUA
rnacentral:pre_miRNA from 1 species